AUAUGUACUUUUAACGUAUUCGCGCACCGUAUACGUAGCCGACCGUGAAAAUCAGAGGUCAAUCAAUCGAUAUCGGCCCGAUUUUCUAAACUGAAUCGGGUCGCAGGGACAGCCACUCCACCAAGGCCCUUCCUCCAUCCUGCCCUGUCCUCCGCCAGCAGCAUCAACUGUGGCUCCCGGAUCCUCAGCCAGGCGCACCACCCCGGUCUAUCCAGCACGAUCGCGAGCGGCCUCUGGGUCUUUUGCCUGGGGGACGUCCUUCGAACCUCUCCCGGGGAGGAGUCUUUCUUUCGGCAUCCUUAGCAGAUGACCCAUCCACCGUAGCUGGCUUCGCUGCACGCUCAGUAGUGCCGACUGGACGUCGAGUCUCUGGCGCAUAGCCCGGGGGAGAGAGAGAGAGAGCCCUGCCACUCUGCGCAGGAAGUCCAUUUCUGUCGCUUGCACCCUUGAGCGCGUAUCCGUCAGGAUCCAGGUUUCGUGACCCUGGGUCAGGAUCGGGACGAAUAUUGACCGAUAGACCGAGAGCUUUGCCUGAAGGCUCGGCUCCCGUCUUGAGACCACAGACCGCUUCAUCGUCCCCAUUGCUGCGGUCGCCGCUCCGAUCCGGGCUUUGAUUUCCUUUUCCCUUGUUCCAUCCCUCGAGAAAUGCACCUCGAGGUACGGGAAGACUUCGACCUCCUCCACGACUUCCCCGUUGAUGAAGAGGGACUCUGCCACUCCAGUCCGCAGCCAGAGCCAUGGUCUUGGUUUUGACGGUGCUAAUCGGAGGUGCGUGACGUCAUUUAUGGACGGCCUCAGUGGACAGAUGACGUGGGGUGGCGUUUCAUGCGGGCACUCGCACGUCUUCCAAGACGUCUGGCCAGCGAUGAAGAGUCGGCCAAUGAUUCUCUAGAGGGGAUGUAUUGAGCUCCCGUGCAUGGAGGACCUUCAUCCAGCAGUGGAGGCUCCAUGAAAAGAGUCGCGCGCGGAAGUGAAGUUGGCUCCCGGUGGCAGACGAGUUCAAGCAGGAGGAGGAGACGCAGAUUUCCGGAGCGGACCAGUGCCCUCGCUCGGGAACGUUGAGUUUUAGCGAUUCGCAUUGAUUAAAGCCACCGUGGCUCCGACGCGUUAGGGGCCACUCACGGCGUGGGCAGUGGGAGACAAAUGACGUUGUUUUUGAUCAUGGAGCUCAUCCACUUUACUCCCGACGAGCGCGCCGCAAGAUGAGCUACUGUCAGGAAGAUUAAAGGCCGCGAACUUGUUCGCUUGCUUCAUUUGUCAGACUGCCCUAAUUUAAUAAGACAGGAAAGUCAUAUUUCUACAGUUUCGCGUUGCCAACUUGAAAUACUAAUGGGCACGAUUUGAAUAUUUACACCUGUUGGGUUGCAAUAUGUGUUCAUUUUUUGCAACGUUUGCGAAAAAAAUCGUCGCAAUUCAAUCUAAUUUCUCCGACAAAUGUGUCACAAAUGUUGUUGCCAUAAUAAAUACGCUUAUUUACCACCAGCCGACGUUUCACGCAAAUAAUAUUCGACCAUUAAAGCCUCUAUCAAUUCAUGAAUUCUUGGAUUAUAAAACCUCUCGAAUGACGGUGGGGUAACCUCUGGGUUUGUAGCAAACGAAUGGCUUUUCAAAGUGAACCCUAAUUAGUCUUGCGAGAGACCCGCGUUAGCCUCCUCUGAAAUCCCCCCAGAGAGACACGACCGUCCGUGAGCGCCACACCUGCUUCACCAGCGAGCCUAAUUUAUCAAUUACAAGCAAGUCUCUAUUUUAUUGUCUAAUACUAGAAAUUACCGGAUCGGAUAAUGCUUCGCCUGGCAGCUUACGGUGGGCCCAUUAGUGAGACACGGAGAUAGCCAUCAGUGUAAGAAGCACUUCACCUGUAAUUGUGGGCUUGGGUUACGGCCACUAAAACACCUGCGGGGUUGCUGCAAAGCGGCGCUCGACCGCAUCGGCAGCGGCGCGUGUCACAGACACACACACGGACAAAACUUUCUCCCCAACCUCCCCACCCUUCCCAACAGCGACGCAGGCUCGCUCGCUCGCUCGGUCGGUCGCGCGUAGGAGGAGGGUUUCUGUGAGGGCCGCCAGACCACGAUCGGCACUGACACAAACCGCUUUAUUUAGCCCCGGCCGUCUGAAGCUGAUAAUCAAAGAAUGCUCGCGAGCCAUCAAAGAGAGCCAACCGCCACUGUUGUGACCGGUAACAAUGGUGCAUUGUUGAUGGCUACCGACCGUACGAGCCUAUGCUGUCAUUUUGAACUGAUGGACAUUAAUGGUGGAGUUGCCGGGUGCUUUCGUUGGCUAAGAGAUUGCGUCUCUGCCUUUCAAUUGAAUUCGCUCGUUAUUGAAGCGCCAAAAGAGGCGGGCGAAAGGCAUCUUCGUGGCAUCGAACGUCAAAAGUGCGCGUCUCCCUGCUCGACGAGCAACGGGGCCUAGAGCUGAUCCUAGCGUUGGUAGCCUUGAGGCAGUGGUGGCUCAAAAAACAAUCCUCGUUCCCAUGACAGGACCCGGUUUCGUCAAUGGGAUGACGACCGUUGGACUUCCCACAAAGCGACGCUCUAUUUCCAUGGACCCGUGAAGGAUUACGGGCUGAGUGGACACUAACCUUCCAUUCGCCAGUCAAGCGCUCUGUCACCGCAGCCCUUUCCAAGUGAAUUUGACAACAAAAGUAUGAAAAGCAUGGCCAUUGUGUGAGCGGACGAGGGCAGACAGAGGAGCCUUCUGUUGCGACUCACGUCCGAACGUGAUGUUUGCCAGUUUGCAAACAAGCCAAAUUCAUGUUUUGUUCCUUAUCGACGGGAACGUUUUACAUUCCCGAAUUAAGGGGGAUCACAUUGAACACUGCGAUAAUGCAGAUUUUUUUUAAAACGUCUAUCUGUGACUCGAACGCACGACUCUGCCGAGCACACUGCAACAACCGAGAACUGCCACGCUCACUCCAAACAGCUUUUUGCAUUCAAUUGGCACACUCCUGGACUGAACGCUGGCAAACGUGCCAGUCCUCAAAACAUCGCUCGCAUACUUAAUCCCUUGUUCGUACGUCGUAUCGUGCCAUCAUUGUUUGUAUUAGCCUGCCAAUGCAAGCCGUUCUUGCAGAUUAAUUCGGAUGACGAUCGUACGCGUUGUCUAUCGAUUUGCAGAACUCCUGUUUUCCGCAAAUGCAUUACCCACGACUCCUAUUAUCCGCGGCAGCCGCAUAUUGCACGGAAGCGCCUCUCACCUGUGGCCCUAUUCUACCAGUUAUAUGCGACUAUUUUCCGCGGAUAAGUGGAGUAAAAUCAGGAAUAUCUCAAUGGGAAAUUAAGUCUGGAAUAUUGGCCCUCUACUUCACGAAUAGGAUGAGUCAUGUAAAUACGUUUUUUUUCGUUUGUGGUAACAUUUAGAACAAAGGAUGUUUCAGGAGCUGGCGCACAAGGUCCCCACUGUUGGAGACACACGCUGGCAUAAAAGGCAGCACGGGGAGUUGCUCACCGCUGAGAACGUUGCUCGGGAGACACUCUCCUUGCAACGCCAGGUGUCUGAAACGCCUGUACAAACACGUGUUGCAGUUUUGCAACAUGGUGACACGCUGCGUUGAGGGGGUUAGCGGCAGGCGAGGGAGGAGUGGGGUAAGGAUGAUGGGGAGCUCCGCACCAAAAAAGCCAAACGCCCCACGCGUAGCAUGUUUAUUUCAUUCCACUGAACUUGUCGUACGAACCAAGGAACUCGAAAUGCAGACAUUUCCCUUGGCCAAUGCCAACUUGUCCUAGGAUUACCGGGCGUUUGUUUUUGUGUUUUUUCUCUCGCUUGGGUUAAAAGGUGUGGGCGACGUACAUUUACCAAUGACAUCAUGGUUAAUGUAUUCUAUUUCAAAUCUCACACACGUUUUCAUUACAUGCUACAUUAGCCACAGCCAAAUUGUGCAUUUGCCCUCCCGAAUGUAGGGAAGAAAAAUAAACAACAAGGCCUUUGGAACGAUCUGUCUGAACGUGAAUUAUUGAAAACGGCUCAAUCGCAACAAAAAAACCUACUACCAACAGAACUUUCCAGCUGAGUCGCCACUGUUGCGUCCGACUGAUGACUCGCACGCCGAGCCAAGUACAUCAAAAACAGAUGCAAUCAGAGCUCGGACGGGAUAAGCGUGGCCGUAUUGACUUGCGUAGGUGAGCGCCUUGGCAUCGUCAUCCGAUACUUGUGAAAACAGAGCCGUGGCUGAGAACAGCAUGACCUGUGCUGCAACAGAAGCCCCGGUGUUACGGGGAGGGCUGCAGCGACGGGACUCUGCGCAGACCACGGCAGCGCGUACAGACACACACGGGCUGGGUGGCACCACUAGCCGCUAACGACUCAACAACAACAACAUGGGCCACGUAGCAAGCGUGGCGGUGUUCGCAUGUUUCGUCCAUGUGGCACGAGUAGCAAACGUGUGGAAGUUGCUGCCAAAUUUAAGUUGCGGUUGAAUUCACCCCUAAACCCCCCCCCCCCCCCAUUUUUGUGUUCAUUUAUUUUCUAGGCCUUCCCUUCUCCACGCAAAAGCCUUCACAACCCCGCUCGCAGUCGUUGUGUCCCCCUACGUUGCCGCUCGAAGUUCCCACGUAAGCCCCCAAUCUUGCCAGAACCGAGGGGCACCGACUUCGAACUUGCCCGCGGUGCCUUUGCCGUAUUACGGUUCGUGCCUUUUACGGAGCUCUUGUCGAAUAACUAAACAAUUUAACAACAACAACAACAAAAGCCAGUUCGCCGGUGCUGCUGCAUGCUGCCUGUGCUGAUCGUCGCGUCCGCUCCACCCAAAAAACGUUGGCGCUUGACGACCGCCCCCGUGUAGGUUUGGGCGUGGGCCAUUAACUUGUUUUGUUUUAUUUUCUUAGUACAAACCUCGACGAUGUUGAGCGGCGUGUUUUAUUGUUGCUGUUACUCGGGAAUUCUCGGCGUACAUCGUCACGGGCAAAGAGUGAAACGGCACAGACAAGGCCCUGAGUGGGCUUCAAUUUACUCGCUCAAAUCACUGCGAACAAAAUAAAUG